rnacentral:lncRNA from 1 species
GGCAAUCUGUUAGGGUUUGUGUCUGUCGUGUGGAAGCUUUGUUCAUUCGUCUUUUGCAAUAAAUCUUGCUACUGCUCAGUCUUUGGGUCCACACUGCUUUUAUGAGCUGUAGCAGUCACCACGAAGGUCUGCAGCUGCACUCCUGAGGCUAGCGAGACCACGAACCCACCGGGAGGAGCGAACGACUCCAGACGCGCUGACUUAAGAGCUGUAACAGCUUACCGCUAAGGUCUGCAGCUUCACUCCUGAGCCAGAGAGACCAGGAACCCACCUAGAAGGAACAAACUCCGGACAUGCCGCCUUUAAGAGCUGUAACACUCACCGCCAGGGUCCGCAGCUGCAUUCUUGAAGUCAGUGAGACCAAGAACCCACCAAUUCCAGACACACUGUCAUCAAAAAGUGGGAUAUCUUUUUAAACAGAGAUAACAUUGCAGAAUCUUGGAGUUGGAAAUAGACCUCAGCUGGGGUUUAGUCCUGUUUUCUCCUCAGAGCAGAAGUCCUGGGAUGCCGUUCUGGACUGAUUGUCAGUUUUUUCUCCUGUCCUUGAGCUAUUCUAAUGCCAGACAUCUGUGGCUUUACACAGCCAGGCUUUCAGUUAGAGAACUUGGUUAGCUCAGGUCAACAAAUGCUGCUCUGAGAACACUGACUCCCAUGUGGGGAGACUCUGCACCUGGAGCUCCGGGAGAGCCGGCUCAGGCCUCUUCCUGCUAUCCAGGGAACUGCAGUGGCGUUGGAGGGCCUUGCUGGGGCUGGGGCUGGGGAGAAGGGAUUCCAACCCUACUGAUAAUUCGUUUGGAAACACCGGGCUGUGGAUUUCAGAAGUUCUUGGGCAGCCUGAUUACCACUGGCAGUGAGCCGGGGACGAAGCCGAAGCUAUGAGUGACAGACGGAAAGAACUGGGGGCUUUGGUGAACCAGAGAACACUUAGCUCCUCCAGCCCUGAAGCAGGCGUCACCGCAGGGCUUAUGGUCCUAAGAGCCACUUAGUUUCCUUAUUCAUUAAACUAGUUUAAUUUGGGUUUUCUGCAUCCUGGAGGACACCAAGUCGGUGUGCGGAGGGACCCUGUAGACACGUGUGCAAAGAAUAAGCCGACGAUCAUGGAAUUUCUGAUGACGCCACUGACACGUGGGAUGGAGGCCUCCUUCCCAGGGCACCCCUACACUCAUGACAAUGAAUCCUGGCUCUUAUUCACCCCUUUGGAUUUCACAAGCAAGUAAGAAAAGAGAAGGACAGAAUUAAACAUGGGGACAGAUGAAGAAGUAAAGAAGAUGAAAAUGAGGAAGAUAAAAAACAAACUGAAGACACAAUGUGAACCCUGGGAAUUCAAGGCUGAAUAGUACGAAGUCCUUUCCUCACAGAGUUCAGGACCCAGGAGUGGAGGCCAGAUAAGGACCAAAUGACAGAAGGUGAGAGAACCAGAUGCAUUACCACAGACACCUGUUGGGAGAGGACGCUUGAGACUGUUUUGACAAGAAGCAAAAACUCAGAGAACUCUGUGAAGUCUCUAAGAAAAGGCCAGGAGAGCACCAGCAAGGGGUUGGUGGCAGCUUUAAAGAUGCCCCUAUGUGACUGCCAGGACCCUCUUUCCGGGAUGCCACACGAGGCUUUGAAGACAGGUCUAAUUCUAUCCUGACAGUAUCACCCUAGUCAUUCCAACAUCCCUUUUAGUUCUAACGCCUUAAGAAAUCCAGCAACCCCCUUUGCAGUCCCCAAGCUGAGGCCUUCUAAAAUGCCCCUGAGGCUGGUGGCUGAGGACUCAGGGCUCAGCGGAGGAUGGGGUCUGGGUGUCCCCCUGGACAAGUUUCCCACUAGCUGAGAUGCAGGCUGAAGCACAAGAAAAGGGGAAGAACAGAGGAGUUCUGAGCUGGCCUGGGGCAUAAAGCACUUGGAGGUAUAAAACAAUGACUUCUUCUUGGUGCUGCUUGCUGCGUCCUUCUUGAGUGUAAUGAGCCCUGAGUAUUCCUGGUCACCUUUCCUGGUGCUGUGGUGAGUGCUCAUUCCUCCGGCAUGGAGGGUGCCAGGGACUUGGGCUGCCUGUGCCAUGCUAUCGAUUUUCUUCCCUAACCCCCACACUUAUGCUGAUCAUUCUGUUAGUACUCCACACAAGGCUGUGAGGUGUUGGUUGUUGCUGUUGUGUUAUUUCUUUAGAACUCUGAAAGGACAUGCUCACUCCAAUGUCCCCACGGGUCUGAGCUGAAGGACCCUGCAGUGUCCUGCUCCAUCAAACAUCACUGAGUUCAUCUCCUUGGAAGAGGAAGCUGCCACUUCCAAGUCAGACCUGACCGUCACAGCCUCUGUAAUCACCUGUGGUAGGCAGAAAUCUGACCCCCGCCCCCCGCAACCCCCCGCCAAUUGUACAAGCCCGAAUCCCCAGAACCUGGGACUCUGUCACCUUACAUGACAAAAGAGACCAUGCAAAUGUGAAUAGUCAAGAAUUUAAAAUAGGGACAUGAUCCUGCGUUAUCUGGACAAACCGAAGGUAAUCACAAGGUUCUCAGAAAUGAAGAGGAGAGGUAGGAGACUCCACAUAAACAUGUCCUCCAAAAUCAGAACACUUGUCUCACCUUUGCAGGCUUUGAAAAGGGGGAACGCACCUCCAGCCUCACAACGCAGGUGCCUCUGGAAGCUGGAAAAGGCAAGGGAACGAUUCUCCCCUGGGUCUCCAGGAGGAAUGAGGCUCUGCAGGCAGCUCCAUCUUAACAUGCUGAACCUUAUUUUGGACUUCCAACCUUCACAACUGCAAGAUAAUACAUUUUUGUUGUUUUAAGCCACUAAGUUUGUGGUCAUUUGUGACAGCAGCAACACAAAACCAAUGCAUUGCUUCAUCUUCAAAUGCUACAUUUCUAGUGGCAUUUUAAAAGGUUUAUAAAGUGUACAGAUAUAUGAUACAGAUAUAAUGAUAUAAUUUAUCAUGCAAAUAAGGACCCAUUCUUGGGAGUGAAAGAGGUGUCAUUAAUAAUUACACAGAAACAGGCACAGUGGCUCAACCUGUAAUCCCAGCACUUCGGAAGGCCAAGACAGGUGGAUCACUUGAUGCCAGGUGUUCCAGACCAGCCUGGCCAACUUGGCUAAACCCCAUCUCUACAAAAAAUACAAAAAGUAGUUGGAAGUGGUGGUGUGCACCUAUAAUCCCAGGUACUCGGGAGGCUGAGGCAUGAGAAUCACUUGAACCCGGAAGGUGGAGGUUGCAGUGAGCCGAGACUGCACUCCAGACUGGGUGAUGGAGUGAGACCCUGUCUCAAAAAAAAAAACAGAAAAACCCACAAAAUUCCAUGGAAACAAUAGGCAUGACUGAGAGUAUCUGGCUCCAACUGUGAAGUACCAUCACCCUAUGGAACAUGACAGACACGUCUCCAGUUCUGUUGUUUCUGGCGCAGCUGUGCAUGUUUGCGUUUUGCUUAUGUGGAGCACCGUGGGUGAGAGGAGCAGUCAGGUAAGAAGCAGGUGCAAGUGAGGUUUUUUUUCUUCAUUUCCCAGCCAUCUUUCUUCAAUAUGAUGGACUAGGGUCAUGUCUGCUCCUAAGAUGAGACUUCCCCUUCCUCUCCACUUGUUUUUCGUCUGCCACCCUCAUUCCUGAAUACUUUUACUCAGAUGCUCAAGGUGCCAGUAUAUAUGUUUGGUGGGAGGAGGAGGAUGUUUCUUCACAGGUCCAACACUGCAAUAUCUUAUCCCUCAUCAUCUUUGAGUGCCAUCAUGCUAGAAUUCCACAUUUUCUCUUUCCUGUUACUCCUAUCAAUAAUUUAAACAGGAAAAUAAAGCAUCAAUAGACUCCUCAGAGGAUAAGAUGGGUGACUAACUUUGGACUCUGGUGGUUUUGUCUCUGAAUUUAUCCCAGGCCAUAGCAAAAAAGUAAGAAAGUUGAUGGAAAUCUAAACAGAAAGCUGUGACUAUUUUCUAGGGAAUCAGAGCUCUUUGAGCUCUCAUUGAAUAUGUGCUCACAGAAAAGAACAGCCACAAGCCAUCUAUCCAGUACCACCCCAUAAAAGAAAGACCACAUGCUGAGAAACUUUUAGCAGGGGGAGUAUAAUUACUGGAAAAUACAGAAAUCAAUUUAAAUGAACAAUAAUUGCUAGUAUUUAUUAUGUUUCAAGCACUGUUCUAAGCAACUUACCUACUUUGUUUCUUUUGCUCUUUUCAGUAGCUCUAUGACAUAGGCACUUAUUUCUGUUUCGCAGAUGAAUAAACUCAAGCAAGGAGGAGCUAAGAAUCUUUCUAAAACUUACACAGCUAAUAAGAGACAGAAUUUCAGUUAGGACCAGGAAGUCUAGGCACAGGGCCCGCAGACUGGAACUCAAAGAGACCCUAACAGAACAUAUGGGAAAUAUGAGCUAGGAUCAGGCUGUCACCAGGUAAAGGAAAUGAAAAUAUUUUUUAUGAAAAAUACAAUUGCUUAGACAAAAAACACAAGGGCUAAAUAUUAAGUUGGUGUAAAGGUAAUGGCGUUUUUUUUGCCGUUACUUCUAAUUGCAAAAACUGCCAUUACUUUUACACCACCCUAAUAGCAAAAUGACUGUAGUCACAGUAGGCAGAAGUGAGCUGGAAAAAUCAGGAGAGGAGGUCUCCAAAUAAUUCCAUUAGUGAUAAAUGGAUGGAAAAAUUUAAAAAGAAAGUUAAGAGGAAUGGAAGAAAGAAGUUGAAGUAUUGAAAGUCCUAAUAUGAGUGACUAAGUAGAAAAAAAAACCAGAUGAUAUAUUUUGUUAAAUAAUGACAGAGAGCCUUCCAGUAUUAAAGAAAGUCGGAAGGCCUAGGAUGGAAAAGUGUAGAGUGCCAAGCAGAAGAGAUGGGGAGACCCGCAUUUGGCUAUGUUGCGGUGGCUCGCGCCUGUAAUCCCAGCACUUUGGGAGACCGAGGCUGGCGGAUCACGAGGUCAAGAGAUCGAGACCAUCCUGGCCAACACAGUGAAACCCUGUCUCUACUAAAAAUACAGGUGCGUGCCUGUAAUCCCAGCUACUCGGGAGGCUGAGGCAGGAGAAUCGCUUGAACCCGGGAGGCGGAGUUUGCAGUGAGCUGAGAUCGCUCCACUGCACUUCAGCUUGGGCAACAGAGUGAGACUCCGUCUCAAAAAAGAAUGUCAGACACAAAGAAAACUGUGAGGUGCUCCGGGGCCCUGCGAAGCGAAGACUCCCGCAGCAAAGGGAGGAGGAACCCAAAGCGCCAAGGGAGCGGCGGCCGCGGAGCCCACGCCGGGGCCCGAGAUCCGAGCGCACCACGAGGAUGGCAGAAAGGAAUUCCCUAGUACAAAGGACCACAGAAUGUUGACCACAAGAUUCCUCUUCCAAAAGAUACUUGAGAGAUGCCAUCCUAUGAGGAGAUACAAACUGAGGAGCACACGGGGAUACAUGGAAAGCAAGGUUCAGUAAAUAAACGGGCGCGUUUGAUUGUAUUCUCAGUAAGCAGUGACUAAAACCAAAAUCACAUCAACAAAACAAAGAGAAGCACAGGAAUCCAGAACCCAAACUCCAGUGACAAGGCCCCGUUGGAGUGCAGAGCCCGACGGCAGCAGAGGCGGAGGCGUGGCUGACAGAAUAUCAGAAUAUGAGACCAUGAGAAGCAGGUGAAUAUUGUAUCUUGUUUCCAGGAAAGAUGGAAAUUAGGAGGAAAAGUUAAAUUAUAGGUCUUUAUAAAAUAAAGACAAGUCUAAGAAAAUUAAAAUUAAAUAGCUUUUUAAAGCAGUAGAAGAAAAUAUACCUAAUUAUAAAUAACAAGAAAAGAAAAAGAAAUAAAAUGAAGUUUAGUAAAUAAAGCACAAUAUGAGGUAUCAGAAAUAUCAGUAACUGCAAAGAAGCUAAACUUCCCAAAGGACAGAUCUCAGAUUUGCUUGAUGAAGAAAAUGAACAAAUCCAGCAGUUAGUUGUCAUGAAAAGACACACUGAAAACAAUAUGUACUGACUUUUUUUUUAUAAAGGAUUUAAGAAAGAUAUGCUACCAAAUACAAGCCAAUAAUAAAGUUAAGAUGGUGAGUUUGUUACCAGGCAACACAGGAUUUAGAGCAAAAUAGUCCUAAAGAACACAGAGGGGACACUACUGAUAAUAUGACACAUUCAACAAAGUGGAUAACGGUGACAAUAGGCACACAUGUUCCCCAUCAGUGGAAAAUGCACUUUGUUGAAGACACAGGAAGCCGUCAUGAGCAUCUUCUGUGUUAGAGUAUCAAGAAAACCUCAGUAAAUUCUAAAUCACAAACUAGCUCUGAACAAUAUUAUCUGACCACAAUCCAAUAAAACCAUAAGCAAAAGAAUUAUUUUAAAAUUUCAUAUAGGAGGAAAGAAACAAAUCUAUAUUAAAUGUGUUAAAAAUGGGAAAUACUUAGAACUGAAUAAUAGUGAAAGCACUACACGUUAAACUUUGUUGGAAACUGCUAAAGUUGUACUUCAGAAAGAAAUUUGUAACUGUGACAAUACUAAUUAAAAAUAAGAAAAAUAAAAAAGCAAAAGAACUCAGCAUGCAACCCUGAAAGUGAGGGGAAAAAAAGAGUAAACACAAAGAAAUGGAAGGGAACAAAAUACGUUUUUUAAAAAAUCAGCAAAAUUCAGGAAAAAACCCUGAUAAAUAAUAAAAUCUGCUUCUCUGAAAUGUUAGUAAGAAAAACAAUCUCUGGCGAAGAAAAUUUAAAAACUAUUGAAAGGAAACGGAAAAAUAACUGCAGAUUUAACUGAUUUUAAAAGAAAAAAGAGUAUUAGAAACAAUGACAAUACAUUCUAAAACCAAUUGAUAGGGCAAAUUUCUGGGGAAAAAAAUAAAAUACCAAAGAGGGUCAGAAAAAGUCACAGAAAAAAUAAACAGAUGACCAUUAAAAAAUUAAUAGAAAGAGAAGACUUCUAUGAGCAAAAAGGGCCCAUGCUUUUUUACAAGUGAAAAAAUUAAUAGGAAGAGAAGACCUCUAUGAGCAAAAAAGGCCCAUGCUUUUUUACAAGCAGAUUCUAUUAAAAUCUGAAGACCAGCUAUAUUGUCCAGAGGACAAGGUCAAGAGACCUGAGAGAGAGACUGGCCCCACCACGAGAAGAGUCUAGGAUGGUACUUACACACUCUCCCCUGGUCCUAUCCCUCUCCUUACUGCACCAUGAGAAGAGUCUAGGAUGAUAUUCACACUCCACUGGCCCUGUCUCUCACCUUACUACACAAAGUCACCUUCAAGGUCAACAAUCCAGCUUUGUCAUUACCAACAAAUACCAUUGCACCUCGAAUUCAGACGCGUGAAUCUUGCACUCUGGCUACCACCUCCCAUCUUUCCAGCUCCCUUCCCCUGUUUCCCUGACUCUCAACCAUCCUUUGGUUCCACCUCGAGCCACAAUCCAUGGAUCACCUCAAGCUUUCGUUGUCGCUCUGUCCACGGAAGUCCUCUCUUCUCACCACCCAUUGUGACUGCCACGGCCAUUCAUCAUGAUGCCCUUGAACACACACAGCUCCCUUCCCCGCUGUUGCUUCCUGAUCCUCACCCAUGGAAACCACAGCUUGGCUGUCGCUCUCCAUCUAAUCCCUGUGUGCAUCAAUUCAGCCUGAAUUUCGCUGGAGAAAAGCCGAGCACUAUACGGGUCUCACGUUAACUUAACAACCAUGAACCUCAAUGGGGCUUUGGUGCUGCUGGUAUUUACACUACUCGUCCCUGCUCCAAUUGUUUCUUCCCUCAUCUACAUGAGUAUCUUCCACUUGCCCCUCUCUCCUGAAGCCCCCAACAAAUCUCCCCUCCUCACUCACAGGCUUGGAGUCAUCCAAUGAGCUCGUUCACUUAAUUCCCUUCAUUGCUUCUACCCACAUCUAAACAUCAGGAAUGGAACGCUGUGCCUUCCCCCCACUAGCAGAGGGGAACUGUUUGUACCACCAUGUAAGGCGAGCCUCUCCAUAUUUGCAGGCCUCAAGCCCUCUUGCCUACUCCACGAUACUGAACUAGCAAUUCUUUCUUCCCUCUGAUGCCAUCAGUUUUCCCUGUUCUGAAUCACUUCCAUUAUGACAUCUUUACAUUAUAAGAUUUCCUAUCUUAAAAAAAUCCCAAACUGCGAUCUGUCUCUGUCUUGCUACUGCCCCCAUAUAAUUCUCUGCUUCCCUUUAAAAGCAAAACUAUUCAAAAAUGUUGUCUGUGUUCACUCUUUCUUCGUCAAACCCAAUCCAAAAUAGAUGCUUACCACACCUCUCCAAUUCCCUUCCCCAACUCACUGAUAGUGUUUUCCUCAAGAAUUCUGGCUUUUAAUUAUCAUUCUUGUACUUGACCUUCCAAAUGUAUUUGGCAAAGCAUAUCCCUCUUCACUCAUUGAUACAGCUUCUUCUUUUGCCUUCUGGGACUAUGCGCUCCACUGGUUUUCCUUCUGUCUCAUUGGUUGCUCCUUGUAGACUAUCCCCCCCUUGUCUCCAGCCUCACCAAGUUGGAAUAGACAAGGGCUUAGGAUUUGUCCCUCUUUUCUUCCCUGGCUGCAUGCUUUUCCUAUGGGAUUUCACCCAGCAUUGUGGUUCUAAACGCCAUCUGUAUGCAACUGAUUGUUGAAUUGCUGUCUCUAGCACAGGUAUCUCUCAUGAAGUUCGGACUGUAUAUCCUAUUGCCUAUUCCAUAUUUCCUUGUGGAUCUCUAAUUAAACACCCAAACUCAACAUAUCCAAGACAACUCCUGACCUUUUCUUCUCACUCCCAAAAGCUGGACCUUGGGCAGCCCUCAUCUCAGUUGAUGAGAAUUCCAGUUACUAAGUGCCAGGUACUUGGUGUUUCCUUCACUCCUUUCUUUGUCUCAUAUCCCAUAUUGAUUUCACCAGAAAAUCUUUUGGAACCUACUUUCAAAAUAUACCCAUAAUCUUUUUCUCACCACUCCUACUGCUGCUACUUGGUCCAACCUUAGACCAUCUUGGUUCAAAUAGCUGUGAAAUUGAAAAGGGCACCCUUAUUCCUUGUGGGAAGAGGAAUCAGACACAGUCACCCUGCAGAGAAUUCUGUGGCAUUUAUUAAAGGCAAGCAUGCAUCUAUUCAGGGAAUCAGAGAGACUUAUCUGGUUCAUAAGAGAUAUGCACAGCACUGUUUGUGGGAGGAGAGAGUUAGAAGAAACCUAGGUGUCCAUCGCUAGGUGAACAUGUAGGUACCAUGUAGUGAAAACACAUUGUUGAAUUCCAUACCACAGUGAGAAACACAAUUUAGCAACAUGGAGAGAUCUCGAAAACAGCACUGAGUGGGAAAACAGGAUCUGUAACACAAAAGUGUGUGGCUUAAGAUCACAUAUAUAUGGUAUAUCUUUCAAGGAUACAUUUGUAUCCAAGGACAUUUAAUAAACACAAUUGAGUUGAUGCUUUGGUAAGGGAAGGAUUGGGUCAUUGAUGGACAAUGAAGGGAAAAAUAAUGAAAUGAAAUAAGAGAGUCCUUGACAGACCAGUAAUAGCACUGUGCUACAUGACUCAUCCAACUCUCUUCACUGGUGAGAAAGAAAGAGAGCAUACUAAAGCUAAAAGAAGUCUUAGCAAUUAUUUUAACCCAAUCUCUGCCUUAAAACACACACAUUCUAUUAUAUCUAGCACCAACUCUGCUUCAGUCAUUUUAUAGAAGAACAUCAGCUAUACAUUUAAGGAAAUCCAAUAGUCAAAAAACCCCUUUUAUAGAAGAACAGAGCUUUUCUAGGAAAUCUGCUGAUGGAAGAGGGGUAGAUCAGGUUUUCUAAAAUGGCAUCAUGGUGGAUAAGUUAUUUUAAAGUGUCUGUUGCUCAACACACACACACACACACACACACACAAUCACACACACCAGAACUCUUUAAAAGCUGGAAAAAAAAUGUGAAUAAAAUAAAACCAGAGCUGGGUGAAGGCAAUCAUAGAAGCCAGUGUGCCAAAAUUUGCAUACAAAAGUCAAAACUGGCAACAUAGUUUUGGGAAUUAUUGUGGCCACUUAGGGGAAUGAGAGAUUGGGCUCUGAAUCUGCUUGCCAAUUUGCAUAGUUGAAUUAAAACCUCCUACACAAAGGCAGGACAAUUGGAGGAACUCUAGCUUCAGAGAAAUGGUGGGUGAAAAAAAAAAUCUGACUGCCUGCAAGAGAACCAAGGAAGAACAUCUUGAGCUCUGUCCUUUUUCCAAAUGGAAAAAAUAUCGUCUCCCUGAGAAUAUAGGAGCAAAGCUUGGUCUUGUGCACCUGGAGUCCAAAUGUGCACCCCCACACCAUGCUCAAGGAGCCCCAGGCUGAGGCAUUAAACAUUUCCAGGCAGGCAGCACCCAUUAUAUUUUCAGGUAAAUCUCUGGAGAAAAUCAUCCUGAAUCUUGGUUCCUGGGGAUUCUCACAUAUUAUAUUUGGCUAAAUAUUAGUGCCUGCACAUGUGCGCGCACACACACACACACACACACACAACCAUGCAAUGAAAAAAGUCACUGAGUGAGAAUAAGUGGAAGCCACAAGUAAUCUAUUUCCAUUCUCAAAGACUUCAGUCACUGUAAAGAUUAAAUACCAAAUAAAAAUAGCCAAGAAAAUUGAAAGAAUAUAAGUGAGAGAACAAGGAAGAUAUAACUGAUAAGUUUUCAGAACUGAUGAAAAUAAAGGAAACCAAAGAGACACACCAGGAGAAAGUGGAAUGGUAUCUUUAAAAAAACUAGAAAAACAAAUGCAAUCCAAAUUGCUGUACAUGAUCAAGUGAUCUCCCAAGGUCAAGAGUGGGAUAAUAAUAUUUUUCAGAAAAGCAAAAACUGAAAGCACUUACAACGAGAGUCGUACCUAGAGAAACUUUGGCAGGAUCAACCUCAGAAAGAAUGCAAAGCAUCCCAAGAGAAGACGUGAUAAUUGAGGGAACUGAGAGCAAGCGGGAAAGUCUAAACCAACAUUGGCUUAUAGAACACCAAUGGAAAUGUCUAAUUUCUGGGGCUAAAGUUAAAAAUAUGAAAUUAUAUGUACAAUGAUAGCAGAUUAGUCAGAUGGAGGAUGAUAAAAAAAAUCCUAAGGUCUUUGUUCUAUUCACGAAAAGGGUAGAUAUGUUAAAUUCACUUUAGAUUUAUUAUUUUAAUUGGAUAUAUACAGGGAGAGCCAAUACAGUAAGUAAAUGCAAGAAAUAAGAAAAAAGCAUGAUACAGGAAACAGAAAAAUAGAAAGCACAAAAAUGAGAUGGUGGAAAUAAACCCAAAUGCACUAGUCAUCACAAGGAAUGGAUUAGGUAAAAAGACAAAGAUUUCCAGAUGAGAAUUAAAAAAUUAAGUUAUAUGCUUUUUGCAAGAGAUAUGCCUAAAGCCUAAGAAUAUAGGAAUAGAAUACUUAGGUAAUUAAUUGAAAAAUGUAUGCCAGGCAGAUAACAACUCAAAGAAAUCUGGCAUAGUACUAUUAAUAUCAGAGGAAAAGCCUAAAAGGCAAAAACCAUUAUUACAGAUGAAGAGGGUCAUUAUAUUUUUAUUUAAGUUUAAGUUGCCCAUGAGGUUAUAAAGAUCUAAAUAUUUAUGGAUGUAAUAAAAUGCCACAAAAUAUAAGAAAAAUUGACAGAAUUACAUGGAGAUAUAGGCAAAUUCAUUAAUACCCUUGAAUAUAUUCAUAUAACUUAGUUAGAAAGUGAUAGGCCAGGCUGAAAAUAUUUAGUACCGAUAGAAAUAUUUGAACCAGACAAUUAACAAGCUGGAUUUAGUGGGCAUAUAAUGAAAACUGCUUAACAAUUUGAGAGCCAUUAUUUUCAUUACUACAGAGAAAAUCUACACAAAUAUCAUGUGCCCUGUCACAAAAGAAGUCUAAAUGAAUUUCAAAGAUUAUAUUAAAGCAGGCCACAUUCUCUGAUUAGACAGCAAUCAAGUUGUAAAUCAGUAAGAGACAGACAACAUUAAAAAUGCACAUAUUCUGACAUUUUAUAGCUUUCUAAUUCCAAUGUCAACCAUCAAUUUAAAAAAUUCAAAAUGCAAACGAAAAGAAGGCACCUCAACAACAAUAAAAAUUCCACAUCAAAAUAUGUGAGGGACAGUUCAAGUAAGGCCUAAAAGGAAGUGUAGAAGAUUAUGUGAGGAGAGAAAAUUAGUAAAGCAUUAACAGGUUAAUCUUUCUAUUUCAGAAGUUAGAAAAAGCAUAACAGUGGAAGCCUAGAAAGUAGAAAAAAGGAGAUAAUAACAAACAGAGAUUCAACAGGGAGGGCCAACGAUGUCAAAACUGGUUCUUUGAAAAGAUUAAAAAUAAACCUCUGACCAAGAAAUGUAGGGAGGAGUCACAAAUACUCAAUAUUUGACCUGCAGAGGAGAUCAUAGGUAGAUUUCAAAGGUUGUUAAGAAUUUUAAAAUUUUAAACAAAUUCCUAGAAGUAUACCAAAACUAGCUUCAAAAAAUCUGAGAUUAGCUGUAUUUAAAUUAGAAAGCCUGAAUAAUCUCAUAAGUAUUAAACAAACUGAAUGAAUAUUUUAAAAUCCUUCCACAAAGAGAACACCAGACUCAUACAGUUUUACAGGUGAAUUCUGCCAAAUCUUUAAGGAAAAAACAGUUUUAAAGUGAUACAAACUUGUCUCAAAAAUAGAAAAAGAGAGAGAAAACUCCCCCGGCCAUUCUUUGAGUCUUGUAUAACCUUGAUAUUAAAAUCAAACAAAGUAUAGACAACUGAAAAUCAUGAGCUGAUCUCAUUCAGGAACAGAUAGAUGUAAGAUGCUUAGACCUGUGAUAAUAAUAAGAACAAUAACAGUAGCAGUAACUAUUGGCUAAACCAAUUUACGCGUGGCUUCUUGGUUGCAGCGAGUUGGCCUUCAUACCUGUGCUUCCUGGUCCCUGGUCGUCACCUUUUUCCCCGAACACCUGUGAGGUGUGUUGAAGAGUGAAGGGAGAAGAUCUAGCCGACUUAGGAGGGCUCCCUGUGAGCCGACUUAGGGCCUCCCGGUGAGGUGGAGGGAUGUGAGGAAGGCAGACAGGCGGGGCCGGUCCACAGGGAUUCAGUUGGCCACGGGCAUAGGCUCGGUGCUGUGGGUCCCUGCCUUUGUCUUCCGGGCUGUGAGUCUUUGCUCAGCACCAGCCAGCGCAGGCUUGGUUUGCAACGAUCAUGAUUCAGGGCAGAAGGUCUUGGUCCCUGUCCUUGAGAAGCUUCCAGUCUCCUGAGAAAGAUACACAUUCAUCCAAAAAUUAAACAAAUAAAUGCAAAUGUGCAACCUGUGAUAAGAAGGAAGGACAUGAAGUUCUGUGGAGCUCUGAGAGACUGUAAUGGGGAUGCAG